UACGGAGGGUGCGAGCGUUGUCCGGAAUCAUUGGGCGUAAAGCGCGCGUAGGUGGCCAUUUAAGUCCGCUGUGAAAGUCAAAGGCUCAACCUUUGAAAGCCGGUGGAUACUGGGUGGCUAGAGUACGGAAGAGGCGAGUGGAAUUCCUGGUGUAGCGGUGGAAUGCGCAGAUAUCAGGAGGAACACCAAUAGCGAAGGCAGCUCGCUGGGACGUUACUGACACUGAGGCGCGAAAGCGUGGGGAGCGAACAGG
rnacentral:rRNA from 1 species